UGACCGCUCAAGCUGCGCUCUGCAGCUGCUGAGCUCAAUCCCCUCAGCCCCGGCCGCCGCCGACCCCGCCGCCCCCGGGCUCAGCCCCGACUGCCGCGUCCCCGGCGCCCACUGCUCCGCCCCGACCGCUGCAUCCCCGGCCCGACGCUGCGGGCUGCAACCGCCUAGCUCAGUCCCCGCCGCCCCGGGACUCAGCCCCGGCCGCCGCCGACCGCCGUCCCCGUAUCAGCCCCGACCGCCGCGUCCCCGCCGCCCACUGGCUCCGCCCCCGAACGCCGCGUCCCCUGUCGUCGCGCUGCCCACUAGCUCCGUCCCGACCGCCGCGUCUCCGGCCGCCGCCGGCCGCCGUCCCCGCCGCCCCCGGGCUCAUACCUGACCACCGCAUCCCCGCCGCCCACGGGCUCGGGCUCAGCCCCAGCUGCCGCCGAGCGUCGUCCCCGCCGCCGAGCACCGUCUGCGAAGAUACACAUUUUUUUUUCUGAUUUCUUUUUUCUGAAACUCGAAGGUACCCAAUCUUGCGCAAUUGUCCCGGUUGGUGUUGACACGUAACAAAUGUUCUCAAUUUUCUGCUUUGUGAUUUUUGCUUUGUGAUUUGCGGUCAAAUUCAGCCGUCGCUCCACCUCCGCCCUCGCUCUGUAACCGCUGCUUUCAUUCCCCUUUCAUUUGCAGCAGAAACGGCAGCCACUACACCUGAAUUUGCAGGGACUUCGGGUCGGUAUUAAUGGCGGCCAUGGGGCGUGCUCUAUUUAGUCCCUUCCACGCGGUUCUUCCUCACCCCGGCGUCUUGCUGGAUUCCAGGAGCCAUUCCAAGGGAUUUGCAGGCCGCUUUCUCAGAUUUAUUUGUGUUUCUGAAGUUCGAGCGCAGCAGCAGCAAGCGAAAUUAUGUCGGAUUUUUGUGUGAAUUGAUUUCAUCUAUAUUAGCGAACUCUCUCUUGACGAUAUACAUCAGCCAUGGGAUCUCCUACAAAGUUUGGAGACAUUACUGUAGGACAACAAAAUUGUAAAGUUUUCGGCCGGCUCAUACGGCUAUGGGAUGCAAAAAAUAAAUACGCCAAGACUACUGAUUCUUUGCUCAGCAUUGAUGGAGUACUUCUUGCAGAAGAUGGUGCUAUGGUACAGAUAACCAUACCCAAAAAGGUUGAAAAACAAUUUUGUCCACUGCUCUCUCUGGGUUCUGUCUACAUGUUGACAGAUGUUAGUGAUGUUCAUGCUACAUACAAGAAGUUCAUUUACCACCACCAAAGCUACAUGCUUCAGUUUAAAACAAGCUCGAAGGUCCAUCUAAUGCAGUCGCGAGGAGCGAGUAUUCCUCGAUUUGCCUUUGAUUUCUCCCAGUUUGAUCAGCUUCCGUCAAAAGACAAUCAAUCCAAACCCCUUCUAGAUUUGAUUGGAGUCAUUAGCUACGUUGACCCAUACGACUGCGCUAGCCCAACGUCUCAGUACAAGCUCAGGAAGAUACAUAUCCGUAACCAAGAUGAACAAACACAGGAAAUAAACCUUUGGGGCGAGGAUGGUGAAACAUUUGACGAAAGCGCAGUCCUCAGCAAAUCAGAUGGGAAGAUUGUUGUUUGUGUUUUUGCUGGCCUGACCAUUGGAAAGUAUUUAGAUAAACUUGAGGCCUCUUCAAGUUCAGCUACCAAAAUAUACAUUGACAUGGAAAUACCAAAAGUUGAACAGUAUAAAAAAAGUUAUCAAUGGGAAGUUCCGGUUUUGUGCCAACAACAGCCAUAAAUUACCCAUGUGACUCCCUUACAAGCAGCAGGCAAACUCUACAAGCUGGAAGAAAUAUCUACGCUGCCAAUUUCAUCUUUCGAGACUUUUCUAAAUUUGAUCUGCAUUACACCAAGGGAGGUGCUUCAUUCAGUUGCAUUGCGAUGGUAUAAGCUUUGCUGCCAUCCAAUAAAAGGUAUUACAAAGUCUGCAAAAGUUGUGGUGAAGGGUACAACAACAAUUCGGACACACCCAGAUGCUCAUGUCCUCUUUCAAACCCCAAACCAAUGUACAAGCUUUCUCUCAAGGUCAUGGAUGACACAGCAAGCAUGGAGACAAUUGCUUUCAGUUUUGUAGCUGAGGAUUUACUUGAGCAAACUGCUAUGCAAGCCUCCCAAAACAUGAAGAUAGAUGCAUCAGAUCAUGCAGUAGCUCUUGAAAAAGCUAUUGGGAAGAAAAGGCUUUUCUCAAUAGGAAUGAAUCCUAAAUAUUUUUCUAGAUUCUCGAUCAAUCAUGUCCUGAAAAAGAGUUACAAGAUUCAUGAUGAUACCAGCCAGAACUCUGUACAGGAGAACAUCACAGCCACUUCUGAAGAGCUCUACAAUUUAUCCAUCUAAACUUAUGCAGCCUCCUGUUUCUACACUUGUUUGUUUUCCUGCAAUUGCAGAUUUAGUACACCACCAACAGUUCUUCCAAGGGAAAAUACAUCCGAACAAACUGCAGACUCUGCUGUUGAUGACCUACUUAGUACACCAGCCGCAGCUCCUCCCAAACAGAGAGAAGACAAGUCAAAAACAAAGAGACAACUUGAUUUUGACAACGACAAUGACGUGAACAGACUCAACAAACCAAGAACUGAAGAAAAGGUAUCUUCAGAGGACAGCAAGUGAUGCCGGGUUUACAGGAGCAUCAAUACUGCGCAAUGAUCCUUUCGUGGGCACUGACGCACAUCGUUAAUAAACUUUGUUAGCUUUAUGCUGUAACGUGGUUACUUUGGAUAUGUUUUAACACAAUGCCCAUGGCUGUUUAGCCAAAUUAUGAAGUGUUUUAGCACAAUGCUUUUAUUAUGUAGUUGUUUGAAUAUGUUUUAACACAAUGCCAAUAGUUGUUUGAGUAAUAAAAUGUUAUCCAAAUUCUGAA